rnacentral:rRNA from 1 species
UACGAAGGGGGCUAGCGUUGCUCGGAAUCACUGGGCGUAAAGGGUGCGUAGGCGGGUCUUUAAGUCGAGGGGUGAAAUCCUGGAGCUCAACUCCAGAACUGUCCUUUGAUACUGAGAUGCUUGAGUCCGGAAGAGGUGAGUGGAACUCCGAGUGUAGAGGUGAAAUUCGUAGAUAUUCGGAAGAACACCAGUGGCGAAGGCGGCUCACUGGUCCGAUACUGACGCUGAGGCGCGAAAGCGUGGGGAGCAAACAGGG